rnacentral:lncRNA from 1 species
AUGGAUCAUUUCGUGUGUUUUUUGAUUAGGACCCUGGCUCUGGGUACACAUCGUGGUCUGACCGGUGACCACAUGGACCUAGCUGAAGCUUUUAUGGAGACCUAUUAUCACAGUCCAGCUGGCUAUUGUGAACCAGACAAGUUUCAACUCUGGGGUGACGAUGGCAAGUCCAACAGGACAGCUGGGGUCCAGAACACCUUGGAAGGCCAGGGACAUAUAGGUUUUUCGGGGAUGAAUUUCCCGAGCCUCUUUUUGAUGAUUCUGUGAUGACCCCCUAUUGACUUUCCACAUGACAUAUAGUCACUGUGCCAAGGAUCAUGCUGCCAAGCAUCAGAGUUUAUUGUUCCAUCUGGCUAUUUUUACUACAUUUGUACAAGAUCCUGGAGACAUGCUUGCUCUAUGGUUCCAGGUUCCAAGAAAUGAAAUGUUGUAAGACACAUCUAUCUGCACUAGAACGAUCCAAGCAUUGCUUUCCAUUCAGUGCUCGUGGAAGAAAGUACAAAGAAUAAAAAGAGAAGUUUUGAACAGAUGUCUCCUGGAUGGAGAAGGUUUGAGUCGAGGAGCCAGGGCGUGGGUGAGUAUGGGCCCAUUUACUAUCAUGGUAGGUUUUUGGUUCUCCCUUUUGGUACACCACACCUCCCUAGUUAUCAUCCUUGGGAUUUAGUACUGUUUCUGAAUCAAGACAGUAUGGGAUUUCUUAGGCUACAUGGAUGACAAAUGCCUGCAGUUUCCUGUGGAUCUAUUUUACUGAGGGCUUCUGUCCCUGAAAAAGAGAACUUGAAGAUCCAAACAGCUCAAUUAGCAAUUGUUUUGAGCAUUUGUUUUUGAACCCAUUGAUGUUUGGCUAAUUUUACAGUUGGCUUUAGCUGGAGUCAUUAUUGAAUGUCUCCUGCAUAAAUUAUGCCAUAUUCAAAAUGUGAAAACUCUCAUUUCGGCAGCAACAACUCAAGUGGAAAACUGAAAAUCCCCAAACAGAAAAUUAGCAAACAUUUGUUCUGUCACAGCUCUAGCAUGUGGUGUUCUUUUCUCCUCCUGAACAAAAUUAUCCUGGCCUCCUAGCCAAUGCGUGGAGCUAUUUCACAACAUCCCAGGGGAUGGGCACCCUGUGGCUACCAAUGAGCUGAUUAUUUAAUCAUGAAAGACAAGGGUUUAAAUAAAAGAGACAAAAAUGUCUUCA